CAGACUGGCGCUGUGCUGCUGCUGUAGAGCAGUCUUAUAUCUCUUGAUAUUUUACGUGAUGCAAGGACACUUUUUCCCUAAGAGAUGAAGUACAAAAGGACUUCUUGUGGAGGAAAAGGACAUCCCCCGAGCAACACAGCACCGCUGGAGAAGGGAGAUUUUCGCAGAUGUUGAUGAAUCAAAAGAUGAUCUGGAUCUAUCUGACAGACCUGAACUGUCCACCUUGCAGGUACUGUCUCAUGUGGAACAGAAAACAACUGACUACCAAGAAGAAUCAAGUGAUGAUGGUGGUGAGGAUAUCCAACAUGACAAAGACAUAGCAGACAACGAAGUGAUGGAGAAAAGACCCAGCAAUGAAAGGCUUGUACAACCUAGUGAGAAAUCACUACGUAAACAAAGAGAAAAAGAGCAUGAGCUGCUCCUUUUAGCUUUAAAAUCAAAGCAUUGUUUGACAGAUGAAGCACUUGAGGACAUACUUAAAGUCAUAAAUGCUGUCACCGGUAAACACUCAGUGUCAACCACUAAAUAUCACUUCUACAAAAACAUGAAUGUUUACAAAGACUAUAUUCAAGUCAA